rnacentral:tRNA from 1 species
UAGCAGCUAGUUUAAUAAACAACCGAUUUCGGCUCAGUAAUUCCAGGUUUUAACCCUGGGCUGCUCA